AACGCGAAGAACCUUACCUGGGCUUGACAUGUUUGGAAAAGCAGCAGAGAUGUUGCGUCCGAAAGGGCCAAUCACAGGUGGUGCAUGGCUGUCGUCAGCUCGUGUCGUGAGAUGUUGGGUUAAGUCCCGCAACGAGCGCAACCCUUGUUCCAUGUUGCCAGCAGGUAAAGCUGGGGACUCAUGGAAGACCGCCGGGGUCAACUCGGAGGAAGGUGGGGAUGACGUCAAGUCCUCAUGCCCCUUAUGUCCAGGGCUGCAAACACGCUACAAUGGCCGGUACAAAGAGAUGCUAGAACGCGAGUUCAUGCCAAUCUCAUAAAGCCGGUCUCAGUUCGGAUUGAAGUCUGCAACUCGACUUCAUGAAGCUGGAGUUGCUAGUAAUCCCGGAUCAGCACGCCGGGGUGAAUACGUUCCCGGGUCUUGUACACACCG
rnacentral:rRNA from 1 species